rnacentral:lncRNA from 1 species
UUUUUGCUUUUAGGCGCCCAGGAAACGCCGCUCAGUUUAAGGCCGGGAGACGCAAAUAAUGUAUCUAUGCCCUGGUGUAUGUGUCUCAUUUUUUAUUCUAGUUAGUUUCGGGUGUGUUGCUCAAAACAUACACUAACUGCGCCUCACCGUCUCCUCCAUGUCAAGUACGGUUUUCUUUUGAGUCCUUGCAAAUCCGCUUUGGAAGAAAGUGUGCUCCCCGCUCUCUGAAGCAGCUCCACUCUUUUUCUGCCUUUUCUUGGCGCCUCCUGGUCCUCAGGGGGAUUUUCUUUUCAGGUGGCACAACUGGGAGUUCCAGGGACCCGCACUUCCGACAGCCCUCAGGGCCCGAGAACAGUGAGGACACUGUGUAUUAGGCCCUUCGAUCCCUCCGAUGAGCUGACGCUCGGAUCGGGGUUAAGGGGGGACACUUCCUCCCGGACCGAGGGGGUCAGGGCUACUCUUGCCCUUUCUGGAUAAGGCAGCUGCUGACCUUACGUCCAGAGACCGACACGUUAGGAGAAGAACGGCUAAUUCUUCUCUUUUCUCUUGGUUCUUUUCUGCCUUGUUUUUAAGCUGUGGAAAGGACUUCUGGAAAUGCUGCCCAUCUGACGUCUUAUUCUUCUGUUCGUGGGGCCCCUCGCAGCCACCCUGCUGAAGAGCAUGGGCCCAGAGCGCCAGACUUUUUAGAAGGCUCCUUUCUGGUUUUCUAUUUCUGAGGACCCUCAACGUGAAGAAAGGCAAACUUGGUAUUCAAUAACCACCCAGGAUGGAGCUGUCAGCUCGAGGUGUCAAGAGAACCGGUUUAUAAAAAGCCUGGUUAAAUAUAGGAAGUACAGUUGCAUUCCAGGUAACCGGAGAUUUGAACACCCAAUAUGACUUUAAGGGAAGCAAUCUGUUUUGGCCCAUUUUCAGGGAUAUAUAAUAUAUUACACCUAUUUUAAGAUCUAUCAGUUUUCCUCCUUAGCAGUUUCUCAACUCGACCAGAAAACGCUUCCUCUAGCCUCACUCGUGUUCCAGGAUGAGCCAUAUGUGUAUUCCUUACCUUUCUCUUCCCCCAACUACAAUAAAUACAUUCUUAACUAUUACACAUACAUACCCUAAUGUUUGCUGUUGUUGUUGUUUUUAAAAAAACCCAAAUGUUAAGUACUCCAUUAUGAUUUAAUCUUCUACCACCAGAAUCCAAAACCUGAAAUUUGAGGGGUUUCUGGUCUGAUUUUAAAAGAAAAAAUUAAAAAAGGAACAUUCAUGAAUAGUUUGGCAUCUUUUACUAUUUCAAUGUUUUAUAAAUUUUUCUUUUAGGGCCACACCUGCAGCGUAUGGAAGUUCCCAGGCUAGGGGUCAAAUUGGAAAUGCAGCUUCUGGCCUACACCACAGCCACGAUAACACCAGAUCCAAGCCACAUCUGCAACCUACACCACAGCUCACAGCAAAGCCUACCAAGGGAGGUCAGGGAUGGAACCCAAAACCUCGUGGAUACAAGCCGGGUUCAUUACUGCUGAGCCACAACGGGAACUCCAACAUUUUAUAAUUUUAACUAUCUUAGAAAUCCCGUUUUUUUCCCUUCCUUGUCAGUAGGGCGGGGGCUUUACUGUGUCGAGACUCUGUCUCCUCAUCUGUAAAAUGGGGCCACUACCUGCGUUGCAGGUGGUUUUAAGGAUUUAAAGGUAACCUACACCUGAUGCCUGGCACACAAAGAGCCGCUCACCCUCCCCAAGCACUGCUGUUUUGCACCUGCCAACCUAGGCAGGCAGCCCUUGGUCGUGGAGGGCCUGCCCACCUCAGCUUUGGCCCACCCACCCUAACAGCCUACACUGCACCCAGGUUGUGUGAGUGGCAAUUCAUCAUUUUAAAAGACACGUGGCUAAUUUUUCUGCUCCCACUACUACAAAGAGUCCCGGGGCUCCUCCAGGAUCGAAUUUCCCGUGGCCCCUAGGGGUAGAAAGAUGAAUUGUUUGAUUACCAGGAGAAACAAGAGCCUGUGUGUCGGGCUGCUUUGCAAAUCAAUUCACCUCCCCACAAAGAUGCUCCUUCCUACUUAAGAUACAUGGCUUUGCAAGGCGUUUGGCAGCAUCCGUGUUUGCCGUGUCAGAGGGCAAGGUGCAUGCAGAUGUAAUAUCACCAAGCACUGUAAUCUGAGUGUGUAAGAAAAAUAACUGCAGACGGCGGGCUGGAGCCCGAGGGGACCCUUUUGCCACGGGCCCUGACAGCACCUCAAAUAAGCACCUUACCUAAUCUCCCUUGGUGAUGCCUGUCUGUGCCCAGUGAUUUCAUGCAGCUGCCAUCUGCUCACCACUGAGGGCAUGUUGAUGGUGGCAGUACUGUAAUUACAGCCGGGGUCUCUGAUGGCCACGUAGGCCCACUGCCGAGAAGGGACGAGACCCUGACAAAACGGGUGGGAGGGAGCCAAGGGGUGAACGUUACAGCCAGCAUGGUGGGCUAAAGCUUCUCCUUUCAUUUAACUCUGUAUCCCCAGGGCUUGACAUGGAGGAAUGCCCAGUAAAUACUGGGGAUGGAAAGGAGUGAAUAAAGGCCCCCCAAGAGUUGGCAUCUCCAGCACUAGGCAACCAUCAUUAUCUACAUACAGUUUGGGGGCUUUUUUUUUUUUUUUGGUCUUUUAGCCUUUUCUAGGGCUGCUCCCAUGGCAUAUGGAGGCUCUAGGGGAGGACCCACCCCUGCCUCUUCCUGUUACUAUUAUUCCGUUCAUAAAUGUCCUUCUCAUGUUAGAACCCAAAGUAGAUCUGUCUCUUAGGGCUCAGUUCUAGAAAUAACUGGGAAUCAGAGAAGUGAUCACAUUUCCCUUUUUGCCAGGCCCACUAGGAAGCUCAGAGUGCACUUCCACCUAGUUUUUAAGCCCUUUUGACACACAUUUUACCAGCUUGACUUUGUGUUGACUUUGUUUGUCCAUCCUACUCUUACGCUACCUUCCCCUGACUUCUCUACUUAUUUCCCCUCCAAUGUCAUCACUCUUGCUGAUCACUAAAUGCUUUUUACUAAUAACGCAAAGGCAAAUGCUAUCUUCCUCAACUUCCCAAUCACGUUUUCUUUACGCAGCUAGGUAUAUGAGAAAAUGAAGCUGAUUACUUCACAAUAAGAAAGGCCUGCUUAUCCAAGGCAACCUCCGUUUUCCCAGGAAGGCUGCAUGACUGGUGGGGAGACCAAGGCAGGGGGUCUUCUAUCGCCCUGUGUAUGGAGACCAGCCUGCCAAGGAGCUUUGCCCAGGAUACGAUCUCAUGCUGGGGAUGCUUAAGACAGAGGAGUCACCGAACCGGAUGGCUCACUCUUCCCUCACCUCCUCUCUUCUGUUGAAGCUCUAAAAUUCCGAAUAAAAUACGAAACAAGCCCUUCACGAAGUCCACUGUUAACACAUGAAUAGUGAGUGACAGAACAAACUAAGGAAGCAAAGGCUGGGAGGGAAGGAGAGGCCACAGGCUACGGGUGAGCAACAAAAACAGAAAGCAGGAAACAAGACGGCUGGUAAGAAACUCUUCAGGGCGAGAAAUGGGGGUGAGACGCGUCUGGGAAACUCCACAUGUGCAUAAAACCUCAUCGCAUCCUUGUCACUGCUCCCCAGAAAACGCCUUCCGGAGGCGGGAGGAGAUGGUCCUGCCGUAUUUAUCCAGAGCUCAGAGCACGGGCUUUUCAAUCCCAAGGGCAACGAGCCAAGAGGAACGGUAUGGAAGUGCUUCUCCGGCUCUGGGGACUUUGGUCAUUUCACCAGAGGACUUUCCACGAGGGGGUCUGCCGCUCCGAAUUCCCAAACCAAGGGGCUCUGACCUGCCCGAUUCAAUACGGUAAAGACACACCCAUGACUCUAAUAGCUGAUAAUAACGAGGACUGUCGCAGUGGCUACAGAGCAGGAAAAACUAUGUGCCUUCAUGUCUUCUGGAAGAAGGAGGGGCAAGAACGAAGGAAUGAAAGGACAGUUAUUCUCGAGUCGUUGCUAGAAGUUACAGCAACGAAAACUCUCACUUUCAUAGAGCACGGUGGAAAAUCUAAGCCGCAAGUUUUUGUAGAGAUAAUAUAAUCAACUACCUUAUGUUCUCACCUAGUUCUUUAUUGGACGCCGGUAAGCAGAGCCUGUAGAGGAGUGUCCAGGCGGAGAGAGGCACUCCCCAAAGAUUUAAUUAUAGAUUAUAAAUGAAGGGCUGAGAUCCAGAACAGAGGGAUGAGGCAAAGGCUGCUUAGUUCUUCACUAAACCCACUUCUCUCUUCUUCCAGUACAUUCCUGAUUCUCUGCCAAUGGCAUGAGGGUGGGUGUGAGGUAUGCUGCUUGCAGGGCUGGCCUGGAAACAUCCCACGUGCUUCGGGCCUGCUCUCUCUGCCCCUCUGCCGGGCCGCCCAGGGAAUGGACAGUGGAGCCCUGAUGGAUAGAGCCUGGGUCCCUGAGUGAUCCACAAUCAUCUAUGACCAGAGCUACAAAUAAAUCCUUACGUCAAGAAUUAAGGAGCUCCCGUUGUGGCUCAGUGGUAAUGAACCUGUCUAAUAUCCGUGAAGAUCUGGGUUCAAUCCCUGGCCUUGCUGAGUGGGUUAAGGAUCUGGCAUUGCUGUGAGCUGUGAUGACGGCUGGCAGCUGUAGCUCCAAUUCGACUCCUAGCCCGGGAACCUCCAUAUGCUGCAGGUACAGCCCCAAAAAGAAAAAAAAAAAAAAAGAAUUAAGUGUUAGAAGCGCCCUCUUGAUGUGGUGAAAUAGAAUCGGUGGCGGUGUCUUUCGAGCUGCUGGGACUCUGGUUGGCUCCCCGGCCCGGCACAGUUGGUUAGGCGUUGGUUGCUGCAGCUGAGGCUUAGGUUGCACUGUGGCUCUGAUCUGAUCCCUGGCUCAGGAGCUCCAUAUGCCUCGGGGUGGCCCAAAAUGACUGAAAACAAAACAAAACAAGAAUUCAGUGUGACAUCACUGAAAUUGUAGGGUUAUCUGUUACCUCCGCUAGCUUAGUCUGAUGCCAAGGAACAAAGAGCCAGGUCCAGUUGUGACCUUGGCAGAGAUGGGAAAGCAGUGAGCAACUGUCAUGAGUCACGCCAGAGGGGACUCAAAGCCCAGAGUAGCUGUGAGGCUGUCGACACCACACAGAACCUCCCAGGGUCUCUGAGAGGUAGGAAAAGACGGCGGGGGAGAGUGUGAAAGAAGAGGAUG